rnacentral:lncRNA from 1 species
CAGAAGAAGAAGAGCGAGCACACCUUCAAGAAGAUUAACCAGACCGUCUCCUACGACAUCGAGGUGACCGCUUUUGUGGAGAAGGGCAAGAUCAAGAAGGUCACAGGGGUCAAGUUCGAGGACCUGUCUUUGGUCGAGGUCUAUGUGGAUGAGUCUUCUGCUGAUAAGGUCACCGUCAAGACUGACACCGGUCUGUCUGACACCCAUGAUGCGGUCGCGUUCGCUCUCGGAGAAUAGGGAGCUAAGUAGAAAUGGCACAAAAUAAAGUCAGUGAAUGGUUCGACACUAUGGUUCGCAUGUCAUGCAAAAGUAUCUUUCCAUUUUCUUGUAAUCUAAAGGCUGCUGCGUGAAUGUUGCUCCCUUUGGGCUGGUAAUCUUUCGACAGUGAAUUGAAUAAUUGCAUUUAUAGUUCUGUACCCCCUCCUCUAUCCCACAUCGAUGACUCUCAACUUUCAUCUCAGUGAAUGGUUUAGAAUCUUCAAAUCGAUGUGAAAAACAAGUUUUUUCUUAAGCACAUAUUUUUAUGUGAAAACAAGUCCUUCUCUCGAAUGUUGUUUUGUAGUAUUAGAAGAACACUGAGAAAAAGGCAAAGGAAAAAAAAUGGGACAAAAGCAGAAACCAGAGCAAACCUAAACUAGCCAAAAUCUAAGACUAGCAAAGAGAAUGACACAACCAAGACAGAGCAAAGUUCACACUGCUAUGGUUGAGGCUGCAUGAUCCAUAGAUUAUUUUCUCUUUCUAAGUUCAGGUUGAUGUGAAAACAAGUUGCUUUAAUGAUGCAUCAUUCGCCACGGUCUAGAGACUAUGGAGGCAGCUUGGACCGCGGCGACUAUGGUGGCUACUACCCAGGCCCGUAUGUGGGCAGGUGCAACCGGAGCAGCUGCACAGGGCCCCCAGAAUCUUGGGGCCCCAAUUUUUUAAAGUACUGCUACGUUAUUACUACUCAUCAGGUGUAUUAAUAAGAGACUAAGCAAGUCAUGGCCACACUUGCCCACGGCCCAGUCAUGUCACAGCCUCACCUUCACGGGAGUCAAAGCAGUCUGCAUGCGUUGCAAUCCUUCGUCUCCUCGGCUCGUCCCUCGAUUCUUCUCCAGUGGAUUCAUAAUUUUUUUGGAAACAGAGCCAUUGAUGGCUAUGAACUGCUGCUUCGUUUGGCUAUACGGUGCUACUACCUCAUAGGAGUACUUAUAAAUUGGGUGGAUUUGUAUUGAUUCCGCGUUCUCUCUUUCAAAGUCUCAUCCCUCAGAGCAGAUCAACCAGACUUUCUUUUCUUUCUCUUGGUUGAGGUGCAGAGCAAUCGGAGUCCUAUGUGCCAUCAUUUCUUCAUGGUGUGUAUUCCUCAACAACAACAAAACCGUUUGGGUUAUUUGUCCCUUUUUGUUUUGUACACCCCUGUUCUUAAGUUAAUUUGCUGCUCUUUCAUGAAUUUAUUCAUCCGGCUGGCAUAAUAAUAGUUCAAAGUAAUAAAGAUUUUCUUUUGGCCUGUAAAUGGGGCCUAAAAUGUGAUUACGCACCGGGGCCCGGAUUUCUGAGGUACGGCCCUGCUACUACCACCAUAGCCGGAGGAGCAGUGAGAGGAAUCGCAACUAUGACAGCCAUGGGAGCAGGCGGCAGCGACGCAGGUCUAUGACUAGGAGCCCGGUCAGGCAGGGCAGCGAGGAGAGGAGGGCGAAGAUUGAGCGGUGGAACCGUGAAAGGGAUACGGUGCAGGCGUGAGACCUCCGGUCUGACUGCAGGUUGCCUUGUUCACCGGAUGUUCUGCUUGCUUGUCUGAUCUUAUAAUGGUAGAUGGAGUUAGAUUGUGGUCCUAGCGAACUUACUCGGAUGCCUGAUGUAACAUCUUCAGUGUGGUUCUUGUUGAACCUCCUCUUUGGAUGUGUUGAUGGAACAUAUUUGGUUUUGAAUUUGUUAUUGUUAUGACUAUAGUGUUCUCUGAAUGUUCCUUUGUAAGCAUUCGGUGCAUUGCUUUGCUCACAUACCUUCGGGAUUGCAUUUCUGUAUCACUCGGCAUCAACUUAUGUUCCAUCAGAUUUCCUGCCAGUUAAAUGGAGCAGAGGUUAGCACUGGAGGCUAUGUUGCAGAUGGGAAACUUUGGCAGAUGGUGCAUAUAGACAUCUAAUCUAGCUUUUCAGCUUGCGGCAUUGUUGAAUAGUUACUGACUUUCUGUGUUGUUGAUUUUUAUUCUGGCCAUCAGAGAAAAUUUCCCGGUUUUAGGUUCAGGUAGAUGUGGAAAACAAGUCUUUCUUAGGCACGCAGUGUUAUGUGAAUACUAGUUCAGCAUUCAUCGUAUUGCUUUGGUCACAAAGGUUGUUCGAGUGUAAGUGCAAUGGGAGCUGAACUUUGUAUCACUCGAGAUCGCCAACUCAUGUUUCUUGUAAGAAUCUAUUUUUUUUCUUACUUGGGACGGAGCUCAGCUUCCUAAUUGGACAAGAGCACUGGGACUUCUACACUCUGGUCAAUUUAGUCGCUCGAGAUCAAAAGACUUGAAGAUUCUUCUUGUGUAAGCAAUGGCCAAUUAGUCAUCCUUGACCAGUGUUCUGGUGUGGAGUUCAGCAUAAGGCAUUUCAAUGGUCAGAUAUGGCUGGACGUAAUGAGCUAACUCCAAACGGGAUACGUUCAUCUUUUUUCUUUAAAACAAGAAUUAUCUGAAAGAAGUCCAUAAAAGACAACUGCCGGUCUCACUGGGUUGGCGCGCGCAGCCGCGCAUGAAUCCAUCCGAGAGGCCUUUAGGAGCCGUUACAGUUUGCACCAUCUAUAUAAGGCAGCACCAUCAGAUCCUGGUCUAUCAAGUACCACAAGCUCAUCUGCCAAUUCACAAACCUAGAAAACCACUCCAAAGCAAACAAGCACCAGCUAAGAAGGUGCUCAAAUGGCGUCCCAGCUGGUUGAGAGCCACCGUGCCGGCGCCGAGGUCCACAAGGGGAACGAUAUCUGCAAGAAGAAGACCGUCGAGCUUCUCGAAGUGCUUGGCCUCCCGAAAGGCCUCUUUCCUAUGGAUGACAUCGAGGAGGUCGGGCACAACUGUGAGAGUGGGUUUGUGUGGAUACUUCAGAAGAAGAAGAAAGAGCACAUGUUCAACAAGCUCAACCAGACCGUCUCCUACGACACUGAGGUGACCGCUUUUGUGGAAAAGGGCAAGAUGAAGAAGGUCACCGGGGUCAAGGUCGAGGAGUUUUCUUUGGUCGAGGUCUAUGUGGAUGAGUCGUCUCCUGAUAAGGUCACCAUCAAGACCGAUACCGGUCUGUCUGACACCCAUGAUGCGGCCGUGUUCGCUCUCGGAGAAUAGGGAGCUACUAGUUAAAAAGGCCAGAAGAAUAAAGUUAGUGAAUGGUUCGGCACAGCAGUUCACAUGUUAUGCAGAAGUAUAUGCUUUCGUUUUCUUGUUGAUCUAAUAAAGGUUGUUGCAUGAAUGUUGCUCCCUUUCAGCCCAUGUUAUGCAGAAAUAUAGGUUUCCGUUUUCUUUGUAAUGUAAUAAAGGAUGUUGCAUGAAUGUUGCUUCCUUUCAGCCCGUAAGCGUUCGCCAAAUGUAAUGAAUAACACUUAUACCGUCUCCUAUACCCCAUAUCGACCACUCUCAGCUUCCCACUGUUGUCCCUAUCUUUGUGUGCCAGAGAAUAACGGCCUUAUCAACCAAUAAUUAAGCAAGGCUUUGAAAUACAACAUGAACCAUGACAUGCACAGAAGAAUUCUAAUUUUGAUUCUUGGUAUUUGGAUUUUCAUGUUGAUUUUAACAUUUCAUAAUUUUAGAUGUAUGUUAUAUCAGUUUCUCAAAAAAAACAAGGAGAUCGACAGCAAGGCUCGAAUAGAAACAUUGUGGAACAAUUUCCUGUUUUGUUGAUUUUAAUUUUCUCGCUAAUAUCAAAUCAUCGGAGUUUAUUUCCACAUUUAUGGUUCAGAUCGAUGUGAAAAACAAUUUUUUUUUCUUAGGUACAUAUUUUUAUGCGUAAACAAGUUCUUGUCUUGAUUUUGUUUUCUUGCGUGGAAAGAUUGCUGAGAAAAUGCAAAGGAAAAAAAGAGGACAAAAGCAGAAACCAGAGCAAGCCAAAACUAGCCAAAUUUAAGUACUGGUAAAAGAGAAUGACAAAACCAACACAGAGCAGAACUCCUACUGCUAUGGUUGAGGAUUAGAUUAUCGAAACUGCUCCACACACAAUGUUUCUGCCCGAUCUAUGCAUGACCUGAAAAUCCAGCAGCCGGUACCCUGCUCAUUCAUGCGCAUGUCCGGCUGGAUUUAUGUGUCGUGUGUGAAUUGUCUGAAUUCUGUCGUCCGUAUAGCACUGCUAUUAGAUUAUUUUCUAAUUCCAAGUUCAGGUUGAUGCGAAAACAAGUUGCUCACGACAUUUUUAAUGUUCCUCCAUUACAUCUCUAAAGGUUUGUUUAUAGACAACAUAAAACGGAAAGAACUCAUCAUGGCACAACCCUCUACUCAGUUGAGAACAGGAAGGGUUCGAAAUCAGUUAGUUUGAGGCUAAGUUUGUGACUGUUGAAAUGCUAAAAAAUGCUAAAUUGUCUUACAAUUUGAUGUGGAAAAUACCUAUAAAAUGGUUAAGUUUGUGAUUGCUAAACUAUGGAUUUUUUUAGAUUUGUGAGGAAAAACAGCCAUGGAAUAUGCAAAAGUAAACUAUUCCAAACAUUUAAGUAGGCAAAAAUAAUUCGGUGAAUGGAACCACCAAAACCUAUGAAGAUUUCAAGCUAGUCUAUUCUUUAAUGGGAAAUGAUUCCUUUCAACCGGUCGACCUUGUGCGAGCGUUCACCACCUCCGCGUCCGUUAGAUGGGCUCUUAAUCAGACAGUCAGGAGCUAACCCCUUCGUAUCCACGUUCUACAACUGGUCCGUUAUUUCAUAAAGUGGUUAUGCAACUAGCCCCUUGUUGCAAACCGACCAGAGGUUAGAUCCUGCAGCGGCCGGGACUAUGGAGGGUGACAGCGGCUGGGACUAGGGAGGGCAGCGGCGCAGGCUUACCGGCAGACCCCCCGCGGCGGAGAUGACGAUGGGAUCUCCGCCGAUGAUGGCCAGCCUCUAUACGGAUCCAGAGAUCCCUUUUUCCCUGUUCCUGUAGGCCGGCGCAAGUGGUAGGUGGUGGUCGCCGGUGGUGGUGGUGGUGCUCCCCGACGGCGGUGAUUCGUGCUCCCCAGCGUGCUUCUGAAACCAUGGGAGCGACAACACUCUUUGUUGUGGUCAGUGGCGGCGCGCUCGACUCAAGCAACGGCAGCGUUGUUUCUGCACAUUUUUUCAUUUUAAAAUUUUCUGCAACAUUACCUAUGUUGCAAAACUUCUCCCACCACAUCGCCGUUGUUGAAAAAAAAAGUAAAGACAAGAAAAAAAAUUCUGCAACACAACCUAUGUUACAAAAAAAAUCUCGCAACACGAUCUAUGUUGCAAGAAAAACUGUAACAUAACUUCUAUUUGUAAAUGCUUCCCAACAAGCCCUCUAUUGCAAAAUAAAGUAAGACGUUCGGCCGUCUGAUUGUGUCAGAUCCCACGGCUCGCGAGGCGGCGGACCGGCCGACGCAUAGCAGCCCCUUUCUUUAAUAGCAUACUUUUUUAACGAGUCAAAAGACUUAUUAUUUUCAUUAAUUGAGAGAAGAGUGAGAAUUGCCCGCUUAAUUAAGGAGAAAUAGGGUAAAAAUCAAUACAACCUAACCCACAUAACAUGAGCACGAGCGACCGACCUGGCCACUGACAAGGAGACCACGGAGGAUGGUUACAACAGAAUAUUAGAGAGGUAUACAUGUCCACGUGACUUUAACACUGAACCUGUUGUUGGAUGCUUGCUCUAGAGGGAUCAACUCCUCUGCAACGUUCACCAGAUGAGACAAAACGAACACUGCUUUGGUUCCUUCUUGCAGAACUAUGGAAAGCACAUUGCUUCCAUGCGCGCACGUACGAUUCCUUCGACCGCACGCAGCUGCGAUGACACACCAAUAUACGCAAUGGUCAAUUCAGUCAUCCGUGACCAGCUCAACUCAGAGUGUUCUGCUGUGGAGUUCAGCAUAAGGCAUUUCAAUGGUCAGAUAUGGCUGGACGUAAUGAGCUAACUCCAGAGGGGAGACGUUCAUCUUUUUCCUUCAAAACAAGAAGUAUCUGAGAGAAGUCCACAUAGGAGAGCUGCCGGUCUCAAUGGGUUGGCGCCGGCGUAGCAGCUUCAAAGAGGCUCUUCGCAGCCUGUACAACUUGCAGCAUCUAUAUAAGGCAGCGCCAUCGGGUACUGAUCUAUCACGUUCAACAAGCUCAUCUACCAAUCCAGCAAACUAGCUAAAACCCACUUCUCCAAAAUGGCGUCCCAGCUUGUCGAGAGCCACCGCCCCGGUGCCGAGGUCCACAAGGGGAACGAUAUCUGCAAGAAGAAGACGGUUGAGCUUCUCGAAGAGCUCGGCCUCCCGAAAGGCCUCUUUCCUAUGGAUGACAUCGAGGAGGUCGGGCACAACUGUGAGAGUGGGUUCGUGUGGAUACUUCAGAAGAAGAAGCUAGAGCACACGUUCAACAAGCUCAACCAGACCGUCUCCUACGACACUGAGGUGACCGCUUUUGUGGAAAAGGGCAAGAUGAAGAAGGUCACCGGGGUCAAGAUCGAGGACAUGUCUUUGGUCGAGGUCUAUGUGGAUGAGUCUUCUGCUGAUAAGGUUACCAUCAAGACCAACACCGGUCUGUCUGACACCCAUGAUGCGGCCGUGUUCGCUCUCGGAGAAUAGGGAGCUACUAUUUACAAAGGCCAGAAGAAUAAAGUCAGAAUGGUUCGGCACUGCAGUUCAAAUGUUAUGCAGAAGUAUAUGUUUCCGUUUUCUUUGUAAUCUAAUAAAGGCUGUUGCAUGAAUGUUGCUUCCUUUCAGCCCAUGUUAUGCAGAAAUUUAUGUUUCCGUUUUCUUUGUAAUGUAAUAAAGGAUGUUGCACGAAUGUUGCUUCCUUUCAGCCCGUAAGCGUACUCCAAAUGUAAUGAAUAACACUUAUACCGCCUCCUAUAUCCCACAUCGACCACUCUCAACUUCCCGAUGUUGUCCCUAUCUUUGUGUGUGAGAGAGUAAGGGCCUUAUCAACAAAUAAUUAAGCA